rnacentral:tRNA from 47 species
UGGGGUAUCGCCAAGUGGUAAGGCACCGCUUUUUGGUAGCGGCAUUCCCAGGUUCGAAUCCUGGUACCCCAGCCA